rnacentral:misc_RNA from 1 species
UUGUGCCUCUCCUGUCAUAUGGAAUACUGCGAGGUUCACCUUAACUGUUUUUGGCAUCCAUUGGUUUGAAAAAAAAUUAUUCACAUUGUGUAACCAAAUCAACGGAUUUUCGGAUCCAUCAAACGUUGAAAAACCCAACUUCAUAUACCUGGGUACUACCCUUCCCCCAAAUCUCGCUUCUGUUUUCCCAUCAAUCCUAUUGUU